rnacentral:misc_RNA from 1 species
GGAUGACUUUGAGAAGUUCCAUGAAAAGGUCGUUGGGUCAUUCGUGCGAAUUAGAAUUUCGGGUUUUGAUCAAAAGCAAGAUAUGCAUAGGCUUGUCCAAGUUGUAGGUACUAGCAAGGUGGCUGAAUCAUAUAAAGUUGGCUCAAGAACAACUAAUAUCAUGCUUGAGAUAUUAAAUUUGGACAAGAAAGAGGUUAUAUCAAUUGAUGGAAUUUCAAGUCAGGAGUUUUCAGAGGAUGAAUGCAGACGUUUACGCCAGAGCAUAAAAUGUGGGCUUAUCAAACGGUUGAAAGUGGGUGAGAUUCAGGAGAAAACAAUGGCACUUCAACAUGUCAAAGUUAGUGAUUGGCUGGAAGCAGAAAUAUCACGGCUUAAUCAUCUUCGUGAUCGAGCUAGUGAGAAGGGACAUAGAAAAGAGCUUAGAGAAUGUGUGGAAAAAUUAGAGCUUCUGAAGUCACCCAAGGAACGUGAGCGCAGGCUGCUUGAGAUUCCCAA